rnacentral:lncRNA from 1 species
GUUUCUAGAGCUCGGAGGCUGCUGGUAGGGGGUGAGUGCGCCACGUGCGUGCGCCACGGGCGAGCAGGAGGCAGGCUCUGGGCCCUCCUGGGGACCUGCUGGACCUGCUGGACCUGGGUGCGACGAGUGGGCGGCCACGCUGGUUUGGCGCGGGGAAGGAAGGGGGUGUGCCGACUUGUAUUUAGUUGGGGGUUGUGGAAGUCACGGCUGGGGGAAAAGCGUCCGGUGGUUUGUUGGUAAAGAGGGUGCGUGAUGGGCUCUGGGGAAUGGAGGAGGGCGCAACGGCUGUGGGUGGACUGUGGAAACGGGCGGUGGCAGUGCCGGGGUAGUUGUCCUGCUGGUCUGGUUUUGGGAUCCUGGGCUGGAGAAAUGCGAUCCAAAAGAGCUCGGGAUGGGCUCAGAGCGACCCACGAAAAUACCAGGGGCCAAGUAAAAUGAACCCACCCUUUAACAGUGCACAAAGCGCUGGCACACGGUCCACGUCUGGUGACGCAGGCUGCCCGAAGCGCUCCAACCAUUUUGCAAACCUGGGAGAGCAAGAGGGGCUCUGCAGGUCUAGCCGCCGCCCCUGUCCCACUCUGGCCAGCCGGAGUUUUUCACCUGACAGACCAAUAGGAAAGAACACGGGCCCCAAACUGGAUUUUAUAGUCUGAGCUCUCAGCAUCUAAGGAAUUAUAUUUCAAAAAACAAAAGCCAACUCAUAGCUCUAUUAAGCUAACGCGUGUGCGAGUUUUGGCUAGGAAAAAGCCACAAAGUAAAGCAAGAAGUAGGGUAUUCAGGAUAAAACACACACUUUAAAGACAAAACAGAAAACUUCCUUUCCCCUUGUACCCCCUUUAUUUGUUAACACAGGGGAACGGUUCUGGGAUGUCUUACAAAAAUGCUGUCACUAAAUGCAGAUAUCUGUGCUGUUCUUUGACCUGUCUGGCAUUGUGGAAUACUCAAUUACAUCGAAGGUGUAAAAACGUUUAUGUUAUCAUGUUCUUGAAACAUUUAGCGGCUACCAAGAUGGUAGCUAUUUAAAUUAAUUAAAAUAAGAUAAAAUAAAAAUAAAUUCUGUCCCUCAGUUCCACUGGCCAUAUUUCAAGUGCUCAAUAGCCACAUGUGGCUAGUGGCUCCCUUACUGGACAGCGACAUGUCAAACGUUUCCAUCACUGCAUAAAGUUCUGCUGGAGAAUACUGCUAUAGAGUUCAAAAUGAAUGCUGGUUAAAAAAAGAAAGAAAGAAAGAAAUUACUUUAUGACUGAUACCAGCCACAUUUUAGGACACUCUUGGAGUUUCUGUUACUUGGCACUAGUGUGAGAAGCUUUAAAGUCAGACUUUCAGUAUCUUCCUGCUGAAAGAGACCUUGGGGAACACUUCACCCAGACACCUAAUUUUUUUAUAGGCAAGAGAAAUCAGGCCCAGAGAAGUUAAGUGAUGCCCCCAAAGUUAUGUCAUAAAUUUGGAAAGAAGAUAAGGUCCCCUAACAGGGUCCAGUAUACUUUGUGCCAGACAAGGACAUCUUUCUAGGCAAAUUCAUCUUACAGAAAGUCAACUUGACUGAAAAUUUUAGGCAAGAGUACCCUUUUACAAGAAAAAAUACUGCUAAGUAUUCCUCCAGGAAGAAAUUCCAUUUAACAAAGAAUGAGGAGCAUGGGGAAUAAUACUAUCUCCCAAACUAAAAAUGUAUUAUUGGUAGUGUCAUAGAUUCAUAUAAUGCCUUUUCUAAGAGGCUAAUUGGGAUAACACUGUGCUUCAUUCUACUUUAAAAAUUCUGAGGAAAUGGGAUUAUCCUCUUAAAGAGCUAAAAAGCAUUCUUAAGGUCAGGGAGGAAAGGUGUCACCUAAAGUGAAAAUUUUUAGCAAAGCAUAAUCUUUCUCAAAUUUGAUAAAGAUAUCGGAGACAUUGAUUAUGAUAUAACUAGGAUGGAAUUGGCUCAGAAAUGUUAAUAACCAACCAACCUUUUUUUUUUUUUUUUUUUUUUGAGACGCAGUCUCGCUCUGUCGCCCAGGCUUGAGUGCAGUGGUGCGAUCUUGGCUCGGCUCACUGAAAGCUCCACCUCCUGGGUUCAUGCCAUUCUCCUGCCUCAGCCUCCCGAGUAGCUGGGACUACAGGCGUCCACCACCACGCCCAGCUAAUAUUUUCUUUUUUUGUAUUUUUAGUAGAGACGGGGUUUCACCAUGUUAGCCAGGAUGGUCUCGAUCUCCUGACCUCGUGAUCUGCCUGUCUCGGCCACCCAAAGUACUGGGAUUACAGGCGUGAACCACUGCACCCGGCCCAAACAAAACAUUAUUACAAAUUACACUAUCUGAAACAUAUAAGGCAACAGAAUACAUCAUAAAGAUUUAGACAAAGCAUAAGCUUUCUUAUUAGUUUUAUUGUUUUGUUUUGUUCUGUCUUUUGGGUUUGUUUUGUUUUUAAUGCCAUGUUUGUAUUCUAUAUAUCUUAUUGUUAAUUAGGAGUGAACUGUUGGUAUUAAUUCUGCUCUUUUAUAGUAGUUACCUUUUAACUUAACACUUAGUUAAGGAUCCCCGAAGUGUCCAAAUAAGAGUACUUAUGAAUAUUAAAUAAUUUUAAAUUAAUAACAAUAAAUUAUUUUAAAAGUGUAGAUUUACAUUUUUAUUUGAAUUAUUGUCUUUAUUGCUCUUCUUAAUUUACCAUUUGCGUGUGGUUCAGCAUUCUUCCCAUUCUCCCUAAAAUCCAGUAUCCUUAGAGAAAAUGUUUCACUUCUUCAGGUGCUUGUAGACAUGGAAGAAGGCCUCACCUUCUCCAUGGCUGACAACCGAGAAGGCUGGUCUGACUUGGAAGAAGCUGUGUGGCCAACAGCCAAUUGGCUGUAUCACAUGGAAGUUGUACCCGUCAGCACCUGCUGAGGGCUUUGUUGUCCAAACCCUGACAGGUAAAAAAAUUCCUGCAGAAUAAAGCCAGACCAGCUGGCUUUGAAGAGAAACCCCCCAGUUUGGGCUGCGUUUGCCUCCUCUCCUUUUCUAUGAAGACCGAGGCUUUGCCCCCUUGAUCGUCAAGCCGUGAGAUGCGUGAUCUCUCUGCACAAGUGUCUGGCAGGCCGAGGGCACCACUUUCAGAUAAAAACAUAGACCUGAAUGGCAUCAUCCAGUAUCCAAGGAAACCAUGUUCUCUAAACAUGAAUAUGCCUUUGGGGGAAGACAGAAGAACAUGGAAGCCAUGU